rnacentral:misc_RNA from 1 species
UCUCCGUUGGUGAACCAGCGGAGGGAUCAUUACUGAGUUACCGCUCUACAACCCUUUGUGAACAUACCUUACUGUUGCUUCGGCGGGCAGAGGUCCCUUCUGGGGACCCCUCCCGGCCCCGUCCCUCGCGGACGGAGCGCCCGCCGGAGGAUACCAAACUCUAUUUUAACGACGUUUCUUCUGAGUGGCACAAGCAAAUAAUUAAAACUUUCAACAACGGAUCUCUUGGUUCUG